rnacentral:rRNA from 1 species
CGCCGAUGAUAGUGCUCCCUUGGGAGUGUGAAAGUAGGACACCGCCAGAC